rnacentral:rRNA from 1 species
UACGUAGGUGGCAAGCGUUGUCCGGAAUUAUUGGGCGUAAAGCGCGCGCAGGCGGUCCUUUAAGUCUGAUGUGAAAGCCCACGGCUCAACCGUGGAGGGUCAUUGGAAACUGGGGGACUUGAGUGCAAAAGAGGAAAGCGGAAUUCCACGUGUAGCGGUGAAAUGCGUAGAGAUGUGGAGGAGCACCGACGGCGUAGGCAGCGCCCUGGACGACACCUGACGCUGAGGCACGAAAGCUGGGGGAGCGAACAGG